rnacentral:rRNA from 1 species
CGUAGGCGGUUCGUACAGUCAGACGUGAAAUUCCCGGGCUCAACCUGGGGACUGCGUUUGAUACGUACGGGCUUGAGUUCGGAAGAGGGUCGUGGAAUUCCCAGUGUAGAGGUGAAAUUCGUAGAUAUUGGGAAGAACACCGGUGGCGAAGGCGGCGACCUGGUCCGAUACUGACGCUGAGGCGCGAAAGCGUGGGGAGCAAACA